AUCUGAACCAUUUUGCGAAUAAGAUCGCCAGAAAACGUAAAUCACUGCGCACAGCAGCCGCGUACGAAGCGCGAAAUAGACGAGGAUACUGUCGAAUUAUCCGCUAAUAAAAACCAGCACUGCCCGAGCCACUGCGUACAGAAGCCAGGCUUGAAGGCGAGAACUGCAAUGCCGUUGUACCAGCGACCUCCGUUCUGGCGCGUGCCUCAUCAGAGACCGGACCCUGAUGACUGCAGGGAUUUUGGACAACGGAGGCGGGUGACCCCAGGCACGCCGGCCGGCAAGGAUCUCUUGCGCGGCGAUAUUAUAGCGAAGAUCGAUGACUACGAUGCGCGAGACCUGCGUCACGAGGAUGCGCAGAACCUGUUCAAAAAUGCACAGAACCACAUUAAACUUGUAGUGCAGAGGGACGUGGAUCGUGAUCAGCCGCGCAGCGCCUCAUCCCUAGCGCCCCGGUCGCCUGUCUUCAAUGCGAACUCGCCAUACAGGACUCCAAGCCCGAUGCCUCCGACGGCGUUCAGACCAGAGUCUCUACCCCGCACACCGGUUCCACAGCAGGGCUACGGGCCCCACGGCCACGCCCAGCAGACCUACCCGCCACAAAUCGAGGGAGAGUAUCGCACAAUGAUGCUCUCACCUACUUACUCUUCAAGGACAGAUGAUACGCUGGAUGAGUCUUUGAAUAGCCAGCCAUACCGCACGACGCCCCUCGUGCUGCCCGGCGCCAAGGUCCGCCGCGAGCCCGGCCCCACGGAGUCCUACUUGAGACACCACCCCAACCCGUCCAUGAGGGCGCCCCCCAGCCACGAUUACCGCGACACACUUAUGAGGCAAAGGGUGGCUGAAUCCGUGGUGCAGCGAGUGAUCGGUGACGACAAUAAGGGCUUUGUACACAAGCAAUUCAACUCCCCGAUCAAUCUAUAUUCAGAGCAAAACAUCGCCAACUCCAUUAGGCAACAGUCCUCGCCCUUGCCCGCUAACGGCCAUUACGGACGGCCACACGUAGUCAAGAGGCAAGUGUUUUACUAGACACGGCUCGACGCCAUCUCUCAUGACGCAUUAAUGCUUAUUUUAUUUUUAUUUUGCUAUCUUUCGUCUUAUGAAACUCGUUUUUCGAUCUCCGUUCUGGCGACGACCGCCUGUCGCCACCGCCGGUCCUAGCGACCUAUCAUCCACACGUUCACGCGACAAACAUUGUGUGCCAUCGUGUGGGUGUAGCUAUAAUUAUUUAUUUAGCUUAUAAGUCAACAUUAUCAGUCGUCUUCUAAAUGAUCGAUGUCAGUAUUUUUAUCGACCUCUCCUUCCUCAAAAACAAACACGACUAAACACCUCGUUACGUCACUAACCGCUUCCGCGCCCUUCUAACGGUCCCCGGGUCUAAUUCUAAUGUUUCUGUCUAUUUUGCGCCCGCUAACCACUAAACACUAACGCCCCGCCCGCCGCCCCGCCCGCCCGCAGCCACAAGCCGACGCUGCUGUACGACCCGGCCAAGUCGGAGACCUUCAAGGCGCUGCAGGAGGACGGGCUCGGCGAUGUAGUGCAGGAGGUGCCCCAGCCAGUCGAGUGCAAGGUCUUCACUGCGCCGCCCAACAAGAGGCCCGCGCCCACUCCGAAACCAACGAAACAGCUCGAGCAGGUGAACGGCCAC